AGAAUCAACGCUGGCGGCGUGCCUAAUACAUGCAAGUCGAACGCGAAAGUCCCGCAAGGGGCAAGUAGAGUGGCAAACGGGUGAGUAACGCGUGGGCGACCUACCUUCGAGUGGGGGAUAACCUUCCGAAAGGAGGGCUAAUACCGCAUGACAUCCCGUGUUUGGAUACACGGACAUCAAAGCUGGGGAUCGCAAGACCUGGCGCUUGGAGAGGGGCCUGCGUCCGAUUAGCUAGUUGGUGGGGUAACGGCCCACCAAGGCUUCGAUCGGUA
rnacentral:rRNA from 1 species